AUGUUAGGAUAGCAGUCUAAAAUCGCGACUUCCUGUCGCAACGACUGCAUGACCUGCUUUCUGCCGG
rnacentral:sRNA from 1 species